rnacentral:rRNA from 1 species
GCUACCAUGCAGUCGAGCGGUACAUUUCAAAGCUUGCUUUUGAAGAUGACGAGCGGCGGCACGGGUGAGUAAUGCCUGGGAAUUUGCCCAUUUGUGGGGGAUAACAGUUGGAAACGACUGCUAAUACCGCAUACGCCCUACGGGGGAAAGCAGGGGACCUUCGGGCCUUGCGCUGAUGGAUAAGCCCAGGUGGGAUUAGCUAGUAGGUGAGGUAAAGGCUCACCUAGGCGACGAUCCCUAGCUGGUCUGAGAGGAUGAUCAGCCACACUGGGACUGAGACACGGCCCAGACUCCUACGGGAGGCAGCAGUGGGGAAUAUUGCACAAUGGGGGAAACCCUGAUGCAGCCAUGCCGCGUGUGUGAAGAAGGCCUUCGGGUUGUAAAGCACUUUCAGCGAGGAGGAAAGGGUGUAAGUUAAUACCUUACAUCUGUGACGUUACUCGCAGAAGAAGCACCGGCUAACUCCGUGCCAGCAGCCGCGGUAAUACGGAGGGUGCGAGCGUUAAUCGGAAUUACUGGGCGUAAAGCGUGCGCAGGCGGUUUGUUAAGCGAGAUGUGAAAGCCCCGGGCUCAACCUGGGAACCGCAUUUCGAACUGGCAAACUAGAGUCUUGUAGAGGGGGGUAGAAUUCCAGGUGUAGCGGUGAAAUGCGUAGAGAUCUGGAGGAAUACCGGUGGCGAAGGCGGCCCCCUGGACAAAGACUGACGCUCAGCACGAAAGCGGUGGGGGAGCAAACAGGAUUAGAUACCCUGUAGUCCACCGCCGUAACGAUGUCUACUCGAGUUUGUGUUCUUGAACACUGGCCUUCUCAGCUACGCAUUAGUAAGAACCCGCCUGGGG